rnacentral:RNase_P_RNA from 1 species
CAGCCGCCAUCCGGCCGAAAGGCCGUCUGUGAGGAAAGUCCGAGCUCCAUAGAGCAGGGUGCUGGAUAACGUCCAGUGGAGGCGACUCCCAGGAAAGUGCAACAGAAAUAUACCGCCGCCCAGAUGGGCGGUAAGGGUGCAAAGGCGAGGUAAGAGCUCACCGCCUGCCUGGUGACAGGUAGGGUCCCUGUAAACCCCACCCGGAGCAAGACCGAAUAGAAAACCAUACGGCUGCUCGUCGUGUUUUCGGGUAGGUCGCGUGAGGCGUUUGGUAACAAACGUCCAAGAAAGAUGAUCGUCCACGACAGAACUCGGCUUAUAGGAGGACUC